GCUGGAUGUAGUAGCAUACACCUGUAAUCCCAGAUACUCAGGAGGCUGAGGCAGGAGGAUUGCAGGUUCAAGGCCAGCUUCAGCAUCUU
rnacentral:sRNA from 1 species